UUGUUUCAGGGCUUUUAGAGAGCAAGAAGAAGUCAUCUUUUCUGAAGAUUUUGACUUCUCAUAGUUGUUAUUUGUUAUAUGAAUGUAGUUGGUGUCCGUAAAGCUCGAGAAAUUGCUGGAAGCUUUCAGUUGCCUAUAAUUGGGUGCAUCACAUGGAGGCUCAUACUAUAGUAGCGAGGUUGACUCAUAGAAACCUGCAGUUUCCCUUCAUGGCAUUGCUUAUUUCAGGAGGACACAAUCUUCUAAUUCUUGCACGUGAUCUGGGAUUACAUACAACUUGGAACAACCAUAGAUGAUGCCAUUGGUGAAGCAUAUGACAAAACAGUAAAGUUGCUUGGUUUAGAUAUGAGGAGUGGUGGUCCUGCUAUAGAGGAGCUUGCUCGAGAGGGUGAUCCUAUGUCUAUAAGAUUCAAAACUCCAAUGCAACACCACAAGGAUUGCAACUUUUCCUUUGCUGAUCUGAAGACUCAAGUGAAGUUGGCAAUUGCAUCAAAAGACAUGUAAGCAUCUGCAUCUUCUAGGAGCAAGGGUGGUCGUUACUUGUUUAUAUUAAG